rnacentral:rRNA from 1 species
UACGGAGGAGGCAAGCGUUAUCCGGAAUUAUUGGGCGUAAAGCGUCCGCAGGUGGCACCUCAAGUCUGCUGUCAAAGACCGGGGCUUAACCCCAGAAAGGCAGUGGAAACUGAAGUGCUAGAGUGCAGUAGGGGUAGAGGGAAUUCCCGGUGUAGCGGUGAAAUGCGUAGAUAUCUGGAGGAACACCGGUGGCGAAGGCGGCUUACUGGGUCUCUACUGACGCUGAGGCACGAAAGCCAGGGUAGCAAACGGG